GGCCCUGAUUUUUUUAUGUUUUUUAAAUUGGGGCAAAAAAUUACAAAUGUCACAUAAAAAUACUUGUGAUAAUACUACUAAGACAACAAUCUUUUUUCUGGCACUUUCCUUUACUAUUUCUGGAGCAAUGACCCCUUAAAUGAGCAUAAUUUGUAUUAAAAGGUCAAUUUUGGUACUUUUUGUCCAUAAUUUUAAUUGUUUUUGGCAUAAUCAAC
rnacentral:lncRNA from 1 species